rnacentral:rRNA from 1 species
AGUGAACGCUGGCGGUAGGCCUAACACAUGCAAGUCGAACGGCAGCACAGUAAGAGCUUGCUCUUACGGGUGGCGAGUGGCGGACGGGUGAGGAAUACAUCGGAAUCUACUUUUUCGUGGGGGAUAACGUAGGGAAACUUACGCUAAUACCUCAUACGACCUACGGGUGAAAGCAGGGGAUCUUCGGACCUUGCGCGAUUGAAUGAGCCGAUGUCGGCUUAGCUAGUUGGCGGGGUAAAGGCACACCCAGGCGCCGAACCGAACCUGGUCUGAGAGGAUGAUCUCCGACAAUGGACCUGAGACACAGUCCCGACACUCACGGGUGGCUGCCGUGGGGAAUAUUGGACGAAGCGCGCACACCUGAUCCAGCACUCUCGCUUGGGAGAAGAACGCCUUCGGCUUGUACAGCACUUUUGUUGGGAACGAAAAUAAGCCAGUUCAUACCCCGCUUUUCCGACAGUACCCAAAGCAUCAGCACCGGCUAACUUCGUG